GACGAACGCUGGCGGCGUGCUUAACACAUGCAAGUCGAACGGAAAGGCCCUGCUUUUGUGGGGUGCUCGAGUGGCGAACGGGUGAGUAACACGUGAGUAACCUGCCCUUGACCUUGGGAUAACUUCAGGAAACUGGGGCUAACACCGGAUAGGAGCUCCUGCUGCAUGGUGGGGGUUGGAAAGUUUCGGCGGUUGGGGCUGGACUCGCGGCUUAUCAGCUUGUUGGUGGGGUAAUGGCUUACCAAGGCUUUGACGGGUAGCCGGCCUGUGAGGGUGACCGGCCACAUUGGGACUGAGAUACGGCCCAGACUCCUACGGGAGGCAGUAGUGGGGAAUAUUGCACAAUGGGCGGAAGCCUGAUGCAGCAACGCCGCGUGCGGGAUGACGGCCUUCGGGUUGUAAACCGCUUUCGCCUGUGACGAAGCGUGAGUGACGGUAAUGGGUAAAGAAGCACCGGCUAACUACGUG
rnacentral:rRNA from 1 species